CCUACGGGUGGCAGCAGUGAGGAAUAUUGGUCAAUGGGCGGAAGCCUGAACCAGCCAAGUCGCGUGAGGGAAUAAGGCCCUACGGGUCGUAAACCUCUUUUGCCGGGGAGCAAGGGCCGGGACGCGUCCCGGCCCGGAGAGUACCCGGAGAAAAAGCAUCGGCUAACUCCGUGCCAGCAGCCGCGGUAAUACGGGGGAUGCGAGCGUUAUCCGGAUUUAGUGGGUUUAAGGGGUGCGUAGGCGGGCUGUUCAGUCAGCGGUAAAAAUUUGGGGCGAAACGCCGUCCGGCCGUUGAAACUGGGGGCCUUGAGUGGGCGAGAGGAAGGCGGAAUGCGUGGUGUAGCGGUGAAAUGCAUAGAUAUCACGCAGAACCCCGAUUGCGAAGGCAGCCUUCCGGCGCCCUACUGACGCUGAGGCACGAAAGUGCGGGGAUCGAACAGGAUUAGAUACCCGUGUAGUC
rnacentral:rRNA from 1 species